ACCAAGUCCGUGCCAGCAGGCGCGGUCAUACGGAAGAACCAAUCGUGAUGCGGAAUGACUUGGCGUAAAGAGUUGCGUAGACUGCAUGGUAAGCGAGUAAGGAAAGCGGUCGGCACAACCGAAUAAACAUUACUCGAACUGCCAAUCGAGAGUAUGAUAGAUGUAGCUGGAAUUCCUAGUGUAGGGGUAAAAUCCGUUGAUAUUAGGAGGAACACCGAUGGCUUAAGCAGGCUACUGGCUCAUUCCUGACACUCAGGCACGAAAGCGUGGGGAGCAAACGGGAUUAGAUACCCCAGUAGUC
rnacentral:rRNA from 1 species